rnacentral:rRNA from 1 species
CCUACGGGGGGCCGCAGUGGGGAAUAUUGCGCAAUGGGCGAAAGCCUGACGCAGCGACGCCGCGUGAGGGAUGAAGGUCUUCGGAUCGUAAACCUCUGUCAGCAGGGAAGACCGGUCACUGUGCUAAUCAGCAGUGAAUUGACGGUACCUGCAAAGGAAGCACCGGCUAACUCCGUGCCAGCAGCCGCGGGAAUACGUAGGGUGCGAGCGUUAAUCGGAAUUACUGGGCGUCAAGCGCUCGUAGGCGGUAUGUCAAGGCAAGGGUGAAAUACCCGCGCUCAAAGUGGGAAAUGCCUUUGAAACUGGCAAACUGGAGGGGGUGAGAGGAUAGUGGAAUUCCAGGUG